rnacentral:rRNA from 1 species
UACCAUGCAGUCGAACGAUGAAGCGCCAGCUUGCUGUUGUAGGAUUAGUGGCGAACGGGUGAGUAACACGUGAGUAACCUGCCCCCUACUCUGGGAUAAGCCUGGGAAACUGGGUCUAAUACUGGAUAUGACCAAUCACUGCAUGGUGUGUUGGUGGAAAGAUUUUUUGGUGGGGGAUGGACCACCUCCUAAGCACUCUACUCCCCGGGAGAAAGGUCUACCGUGGCGACGAUCGGCUUCUGUGUUGAGAGCAUGACCCGCGACACUGCUCCUGAGCCAUGAUCAACUAUUAACNNAAGGGCAGUGGGGAAUAUUGCACAAUGGGCGAAAGCCUGAUGCCGCGACGCCGCGUGAGGAAUGACGGCCUUCGGGUUGUGAACCUCUUUCACCAGGAACGGAGGUAACGUGGCGUGACCUGGAGGAGAAUGGCCGCCUAACUACGUGCCACCAGCCGCGGUAAUACGUAGGGGGCCAGCGUUGUCCGGGAAUUAUUGGGCGUAAAGAGCUUGUAGGCGGUUUGUCGCGUCUGCUGUGAAAGACCGGGGCUCAACUCCGGUUCUGCAGUGGGUACGGGCAGACUAGAGUAUGUUAUGGGAGACUGGAAUUCCUGGUGUAGCGGUGAAAUGCGCACAUAUCACGAGGAACACCGAUGGCGAAGGCAGGUCUCUGGGCCAUUACUGACGCUGAGAAGCGAAAGCAUGGGCAGCGAACAGGAUUAGAUACCCUGAUAGUCCAUGCCGGUAACUGGUGGGCGCUGAGGUGUGGGGCUCAUUCCACGAGUUCCGUGCCGCAGCUAAAGCAAUGAACAGCCCGCCUGGGGAGUACCGGCCGCAAGCCUAAAACUCGAAGGAAUUGACGGGGCCCGCACAAGCGGGGGAUCAUGGGGAUUAAUUCGAUGCAACGCGAAGAACCUUACAAAGGUUGACAUCCACNGAAUU